GAUGAAGAACGCAGCGAAAUGCGAUAAGUAAUGUGAAUUGCAGAAUUCCGUGAAUCAUCGAGUCUUUGAACGCACAUUGCGCCCCCUGGCAUUCCGGGGGGCAUGCCUGUCCGAGCGUCAUUGCUGCCCUUCAAGCCCGGCUUGUGUGUUGGGUCGUCGUCCCCCCCGGGGGACGGGCCCGAAAGGCAGCGGCGGCACCGCGUCCGGUCCUCGAGCGUAUGGGGCUUUGUCACCCGCUCGAUUAGGGCCGGCCGGGCGCCAGCCGGCGUCUCCAACCUUCUAUUUUACCAGGUUGACCUCGGAUCAGGUAGGGAUACCCGCUGAACUUAAGCAUAUCAAUAAGCGGAGGA
rnacentral:misc_RNA from 1 species